UACAGAGGGUGCGAGCGUUGUUCGGAAUUAUUGGGCGUAAAGGGCGCGUAGGCGGUGCGGUAAGUCACCUGUGAAAUCUCCUGGCUCAACUGGGAGCUUGCAGGCGAAACUGCCGUGCUGGAGUGUGGGAGAGGUGCGUGGAAUUCCUGGUGUAGCGGUGAAAUGCGUAGAUAUCAGGAGGAACACCUGUGGCGAAAGCGGCGCACUGGACCGCAACUGACGCUGAGGCGCGAAAGCUAGGGGAGCGAACGGG
rnacentral:rRNA from 1 species